rnacentral:rRNA from 1 species
GCAGUGGGGAAUAUUGCACAAUGGGGGAAACCCUGAUGCAGCAACGCCGCGUGAGUGAUGAAGGUUUUCGGAUCGUAAAGCUCUGUCUUUGGGGAAGAUAAUGACGGUACCCAAGGAGGAAGCCACGGCUAACUACGUGCCAGCAGCCGCGGUAAUACGUAGGUGGCGAGCGUUAUCCGGAUUUACUGGGCGUAAAGGGAGCGUAGGCGGAUGAUUAAGUGGGAUGUGAAAUACCCGGGCUCAACUUGGGUGCUGCAUUCCAAACUGGUUAUCUAGAGUGCAGGAGAGGAGAGUGGAAUUCCUAGUGUAGCGGUGAAAUGCGUAGAGAUUAGGAAGAACACCAGUGGCGAAGGCGACU